ensembl:snRNA U1 U1 spliceosomal RNA
AUACUUAUCUGUCAGGGGAGAUUCCAUGAUCAUGAAGGUGAUUUUCCCAGAGUGAGGCUCAUCCAUUGCACUCUGGAUGGGCUGUCCCCUGUGAUGUCCUAUACUGUGUGUUUUGUAGCUGCUGGGGGCUGCAUUUGUGCUUUUUCCUG